CAGCAGCCGCGGUAAUACGUAUGGGGCAAGCGUUGUUCGGAUUUACUGGGCGUAAAGGGAGCGCAGGCGGAAUGGUAAGUUAGAAGUGUAAUCUACAGGCUCAACCUGUAGCUCGCUUUUAAUACUGCCAUUCUUGAGUAUGGAAGAGGGAGAUGGAAUUCCAGGUGUAGCGGUGGAAUGCGUAGAUAUCUGGAAGAACACCAGUUGCGAAGGCGGUCCCCUGGUCCAAUACUGACGCUGAGGCUCGAAAGCUAAGGGAGCAAACAGGAUUAGAUACCCUGGUAGUCUUAGCCGUAAACGAUGGACACUAGUUGUUGGAGGGGUUCUCCCUUCAGUGACGUAGCUAACGCGUUAAGUGUCCCGCCUGGGGAGUACGCUCGCAAGGGUGAAACUCAAAGGAAUUGACGGGGGCCCGCACAAGCGGUGGAGCAUGUGCUUUAAUUCGAUGCAACGCGAAGAACCUUACCUGGACUUGACAUGGGAGUGAAAGGUUUCAGAGAUGAAAUCCCUUCCUUCGGGAACACUCUACACAGGUGCUGCAUGGUUGUCGUCAGCUCGUGUCGUGAGAUGUUGGGUUAAGUCCCGCAACGAGCGCAACCCCUGUCCUUAGUUGCCAUCAGGUAAUGCUGGGAACUCUAGGGAGACUGCCUGGUUCAACCAGGAGGAAGGUGGGGAUGACGUCAAAUCCUCAUGGCCCUUACGUCCAGGGCUAGACACGUGCUACAAUGGCAGGUACAACGGGCUGCGAACUCGCGAGAGUAAGCCAAUCCCUUAAAACCUGUCUCAGUUCGGAUUGGAGUCUGCAAUUCGACUUCAUGAAGGUGGAAUCGCUAGUAAUCGCGGAUCAGCAUGCCGCGGUGAAUACGUUCCCGGGCCUUGUACACACCGCCCGUCAAGCCACGAAAGAUGGCAGUACCCGAAGUCGCUUCUCUAACCGCAAGGAAGAGUGCGCCGAAGGUAAGGCUGUUAAUUGGGACUAAGUCGUAACAAGGUAACCGUA
rnacentral:rRNA from 1 species